AUACGGAGGAUGCAAGCGUUAUCCGGAUUUAUUGGGUUUAAAGGGAGCGUAGGUGGGAUAUUAAGUCAGCUGUGAAAGUUUGGGGCUCAACCUUAAAAUUGCAGUUGAUACUGGUUUCCUUGAGUACGGUACAGGUGGGCGGAAUUCGUGGUGUAGCGGUGAAAUGCUUAGAUAUCACGAAGAACUCCGAUCGCGAAGGCAGCUCACCGGGCCGGAACUGACACUGAUGCUCGAAAGUGCGGGUAUCAAACAGGAUUAGAUACCCUGGUAGUCCGCACAGUAAACGAUGAAUACUCGCUGUUUGCGAUACACUGUAAGCGGCCAAGCGAAAGCGUUAAGUAUUCCACCUGGGGAGUACGCCGGCAACGGUGAAACUCAAAUGAAUUGGCGGGG
rnacentral:rRNA from 1 species